CCUGGCUCAGGAUGAACGCUGGCGGCGUGCCUAACACAUGCAAGUCGAACGGAGUACAGACGCUGUGCGGAGAAGUGCUUGCACGGAACCAAACUUGUUGACUUAGUGGCGGACGGGUGAGUAACGCGUGGAGAACCUGCCUCACACAGGGGGAUAACAGGGAGAAAUUCCUGCUAAUACCGCAUAAGCGCACGACAUGGCAUCAUGAAGUGUGAAAAAGAUUUAUCGGUGUGAGAUGGCUCCGCGUCUGAUUAGCCAGUUGGUGGGGUAACGGCCUACCAAAGCGACGAUCAGUAGCCGGCCUGAGAGGGCGGACGGCCACAUUGGGACUGAGACACGGCCCAGACUCCUACGGGAGGCAGCAGUGGGGGAUAUUGCACAAUGGGGGGAACCCUGAAUGCAGCGACGCCGCGUGGGUGAAGAAGUAUUUCGGUAUGUAAAGCCCUAUCAGCAGGGAAGAUAAUGACGGUACCUGACUAAGAAGCCCCGGCUAACUACGUGCCAGCCGCCGC
rnacentral:rRNA from 1 species